CCCUUAGAUGUUCUGGGCCGCACGCGCGCUACACUGACGGAUUCACUGAGUCUAUCCUUGGCCGAAAGGUCCGGGUAAUCUGUAAAUUCCGUCGUGAUGGGGCUAGAUUAUUGCAAUUAUUAAUCUUCAACGAGGAAUUCCUAGUAAGCGUGAUUCAUCAGAUCGCGUUGAUUACGUCCCUGCCCUUUGUACACACCGCCCGUCGCUCCUACCGAUUGAAUGGUCCGGUGAAGCGUCCGGAUGGGCGCGCUGUGGCGGUUCGCCGCCGCGGUGUGCCCAGAAGUUCGUUAAACCUUAUCAUUUAGAGGAAGGAGAANUCGUANCA
rnacentral:rRNA from 1 species